rnacentral:rRNA from 1 species
UACGGGGGGGGCAAGCGUUGUUCGGAAUCACUGGGCUUAAAGGGCGCGUAGGCGGGCUGUCAAGUCUGGGGUGAAAUCCCGCGGCUCAACCGUGGAACUGCCUCAGAUACUGACGGCCUCGAGGGAGAUAGGGGCGAGCGGAACUAAUGGUGGAGCGGUGAAAUGCGUUGAUAUCAUUAGGAACUCCGGUGGCGAAGGCGGCUCGCUGGAUCUUUUCUGACGCUGAGGCGCGAAAGCUAGGGGAGCAAACGGG